UAAAAUGAUAACGUGUUCGAUGAUAUAAUCGGGGAGAACUUUUUGGUUGCCAUAAAAGCAAUUCACAAGGUAUGUCCAUUCCGUAUAUGAUUUGAGUUUUACUUUAUAGCUGCAAGUAACUUGACUUGCAAGUUACAUCUAUGUUUGCAGGCUGAGAUCGAGCACUACUGCGAGGACAAGGAGGCUUACAAGCAAAUGAUAUACCUUUACUAGUCUUUUUCGAAUUCCUGUUCCGAUUUACAAACCAACUCACCUGCCAAAUCGUUAAUCAACGGGUCCUCUUGUAGUUCCGGUGACGAAUAAUAACCGGUCUACAAUUGAAAUUUCGAAUAAUUCAUUUUGAUAUAAUCUCAAAAUUUAAAACAUCGUCCAAUACUUUAGAAUAGCAAAACACAGAAAUAGGAAUUAAAAGGUUUACAAAAGAUACAAGUGCACAAGCCCAAGCCCAUUUCAGCCCAUAGAUGAACGAGAUAGGCUAAAGUAUAAGCCUGCAAAGAAACAAGAAACGAUACAAAUAUGAAUUCAACUUUGAACUUUUUUUUCUAAGGAGUUUCGGAGUGAAGAGGAUUAUAAACACUCAACUCGAAUUUCAUUCUAUGAAAUUUGAGAUACUAAUUUCAUCUUAUUCCUUCUCGAUCCUGAUAAUUAACACACCGUACUCGUAAUAUGCACAAUUGCGAUUUUCGUAAAUUUACGUAUCAAAUUCCACAUUGAUAGACUCAGCCAUUCAACAUCCAGUAUAGUUGGUCAAAAAUUCUAAAAUACAACUAACAUGGAUGGUUUUUCUGUCUUGAAUUGCUGGUUUCACCUAUAUUCGGUCUCUGAACACAAAAAGAUACCAGCAGUUGUUUUGUACUUUUGUUAAGUGCCAAAAACAAGUGCCGCAAAGGAGCUAAUCUAGUACCGAUUUCUAACUUUUAUCCUCAAAGCCCCAGCUAGAUUAAUCACUAAGCAGACCAAUAACAACGUUCAGAAUCUAACUCAGUUGAUCAUAUAAACAGUGGAACAGCUUAUAAAAGGUUGGUCUUUGUCUGUGUGAAACCUGCGAUUCUAACAUAUACGUAAUGAAACUAGCGACCAUCUGUACGACGUUGUUGCUGUUGCUAAUAAUACUGCCAGAUUUCUGCAGUGUUAAAGCACAAGAAGAUGAUUCAGUGAGUCAUGCCUUGGGGCGGUUCUCCGAACCACAGAGCCACAACCUUAGGCGAGGCCGACGGCCCAGACUGCCUCCUUUCCGGUCCGGUCCGUGGCAGAGAGCUCACGCCACAUUCUAUGAAGGCAACACCAGAACUUAUGGUAUUACAAUUUCAAUUUAAACGGAUUAGCUCGAGUAUAUGUCUCCUUAGUAAACUCAAAUAUAUGCGUCCUUGUUUCAUUUCUCCACGGUCUUUUUAGUGCAAUCACUCUGUCCAUAUGAGAAAUUUGUGAGAUGACUCGCGUUCGAGAGUCAACUCGAAUACUAACUCGAAUAUAUUCCUCGUUAGUGAACUCAAUAAUACAACGUGUAUUUUAUCUGGAGUACUAUAUACAAUUAGUCAUAUGUAAUUUGUAAUUGUUCUACUCAAAAUGCAAGUGGCUAUAUUAUUUAGAUUUAACUAUUUUAUUUGAGAAAAAUAAAAACCUGUAAAAUUUAGAAUAGUUUGUUUUUCCCGACUCCUUGAUGUUUUUAGCAUACAAAUUUCAAAUUCAACUUAAAAUAAACUCAUCGAAAACUUUUAAUGAGGGUUGAAGUUCGAGUGGCUCAUCAAGGAUAGUUGACGAAUCAGGUUCAAACUCAAUCCGAGCUAAAAUUCUCGAGUUCGAGCUCAGCUAAAAGAUAACGAGCCAAAUUUGAGUAAAGUUCGGCUCGGCUUGGUCUGAACAACCUACGAUAACUAAUGCGUCCUUGGUUCAAUCAAAUUAUUAACUAACUAGGCCGGGAUGAUAUUGGUACCUGCGACGGUGACUCAUUAUUCACGAACUUGAUUUGACAGGCGGCGCGUGCGACUACACGGACGUGGUGGGGGAAGGGUACGGGAUGAACACGGCGGCGCUGAGCAACGCUCUCUUCCGAGACGGUAAGAGCUGCGGUGCUUGUUUCCAGAUACAGUGCAUCGACGACCCACAGUGGUGUAAGCCAGGUCAGCAGUCUCUGUUCGUCACGGCCACUGAUCUCUGCCCUCCCAACCCAUUCCAGCCCAGCGACAACGGCGGCUGGUGUAACCCUCCCCGCCAGCAUUUCGACAUCGCCAUGCCCGUCUUCAACCAUCUUGCCGAGUACAAGGCCGGAAUUAUACCCGUCAAGUAUCGCAGGUAAGCUCAAAAUCUGUUACGAAAUAUCAUAUGAAUGUUGAAGUAUCCAAACCAAAUUCGAAUCGAUCAACUUGAUUUCCUGUAAUUUGACAAUGCUUUAUUAGUGUUUUAUAAAGCAUAAAAUGAUAAAAGAUUGUGACCUUUUUCAUUAUUAAUUUAUAAUUAGAAUUAUUCACAUGAUGUUGUAAAAAAAUUUAGAAAAUAAAUAGAGAUAAAUGAAAUUUUUUAUUAUAGAAAAUACAAAAUAAUUUAAAAUAUGUNNNNNNNNNNNNNNNNNNNNNNNNNNNNNNNNNNNNNUGUUGUCUUCUUUUUAUAAAUAAUUUUACUUUUUAUAAAAAAACGUAAUUAGCAUGAAAAUGUGAGACAAUUUAAAGCAUACCAAUUGAAAAAUAAAAAAUAUCACAAAACCCAUAAAGAAUAAUAUAUGAACUGAAAAUAAAAUUAUAAUAAACUCAAAAUGAAACCACAAUAAACUCAAAAUAAAACUUUAAUAAACUUAAAAUAAUCAAACAUUAUUCAUUCUCAUUUUAUAGAUAAAAAGUUCUGACGGUUAUGAUUACAACUAAAAAAUCGGCCACAUAAGUACGGUAUAUACUUUGCAAUUCGAAAAUCUAUGUUGGACAGUUAUUACUUGAACGAAAACUGCAAUAUAUAGAUAAAUAACGAAUAGAAUACCAACUAUCAAAACUCGAACCGUAGUCCAGCCCCACUUCAUUAAAUCUCGUCUUUGUUUUAACUUUUUCUAAGUUGGAAAUUGGGACUGUAGGGUUCCGUGCAGAAAGAGUGGUGGGAUCCGGUACACAAUGAUGGGCAACCAGUGGUUCUACGAGGUCGUAGUUUCGAACGUUGGAGGCUCCGGAGACAUCGUGGCCGUUCAAGUGAAGGUCGACAACAAACUCCGGUGGAUAUCGUUGGAUCACGAUUGGGGCGCCACUUGGAAAACGGGGUUUCCAUUGCAAGGCAAGUCGUUGAGCUUCAGGGUUCGAGGUAGCGACGGAAGGUACUCGACUUCUCCACACGUCGUCCCGAGUAAUUGGCAGUUCGGUCAGACUUUCGAAGGGAAGAACUUCAAAUUGAAGAAUGGAAGAAGAAAGAAGGAUUUUGGCCAAGUUUAAUUCAUACUUUGCUUUCAUUUGCUUGAAUAAUCAUUCUUUCAAUAUUUAAUUUUAGUAUUUGUAAAAUUGUAAGUUGCCGAUCAUACCAUUUGAAUUACAUAUCAAUGGCUAAGUCGAUUGUAUUAAUCGGAUAACCUGUAUAUAAUAAGAGUUUCUGCUACUAGACCGACCUGUUCGAGAUAUCUCGUACCAAACGAGACCUAUCUUAAAUUGCUCCUCUAUUUCCACUCAAGUUGUGUUUCGAAAAAUAGUUUUAGCUGUGGCAAUAUAACAAAUUUAACAGCACUAUAUCUCAGACAAAACUUUCAGUGUGGUAGUAGCUGGUCUUCUAUUGUUCUACUAUGACAAUACACUAGCCAGAUUGUCACAGUAAUUAAAAUCAGAAAAGAAGUGAGAAGCACGGACCGACCUGCAUCUGGCUCCUCCUUCAGGGUAAAAAAUCUAGCUACCGAGUCAAACGAGCUUUUCUCGAACUGAACGUUGAGUUCUUUAACGUUUUGGGGAGACUUGGG
rnacentral:lncRNA from 1 species